GUUAUUUACAACGAAGCAGUAGGCUAAACACUUAGAUACUAAUAUAAAGGGCAAGAGGCGUUAAUACAGAGGGCACAAUACGAUUAAAAAAGAUUAAUCUAUUUCAUCUCUUAAUCGACAUGAAGUCGUAAGUAAAAUCUACAAAGAACACCAAAGAUUAAUACAAUAUUUUAAAUAAAUAAAAAAAAUCACAAGACAAAACAU
rnacentral:lncRNA from 1 species